rnacentral:rRNA from 1 species
CCCUUAGAUGUUCUGGGCCGCACACGCGCUACACUGAAGGAGGCAGCGUGUACUCCUGGAUCGAAAGAUUUGGGUAACCCGCGAAUCUCCUUCGUGCUAGGGAUUGAGGUUUGCAAUUAUCCUUCAUGAACGAGGAAUUCCCAGUAAGUGCAAGUCAUAAGCUUGCGCUGACUACGUCCCUGCCCUUUGUACACACCGCCCGUCGCUACUACCGAUUGAAUGAUUUAGUGAGGACUUCGGACUGGGACCGAUGCGGCUUUCGGGCUGCGUCGGUAUUCUGGAAAGAUGUCCAAACUGUNUNAUUUAUNGGAAGUAAAGNUCGUANCA